rnacentral:lncRNA from 1 species
GGUUGGGGUCCCGGGAGGCUAGGAGGCAUUUCCAAUUACAUGGGCGAGGUGCUCGGGUAUGUGGAGAUCAGCGGAUGCGCGGGUAUCUUUCGGGUAGAGGGGUAGGUGGCAGGGUAGUGACAGCCCUGUCAUCCCUGGAAUUGCCCCAUGAUCAAGUAUUCUGGUAGCAGUUCUGUAAAGUCCCUAUCGGAUGGAUGUCCAACUGUGGGGAGCUCCCAAGAGCCUCAGACUUAGUUCUAACUCUAGUUAUAUUGAUUAGAUGUUCUACUAACAAUUCUUUGCAUAGUUAUAUA